AUUGAACGCUGGCGGCAUGCCUUACACAUGCAAGUCGAACGGCAGCACGGGAGCAAUCCUUGUGGCGAGUGGCGAACGGGUGAGUAAUAUAUCGGAACGUGCCCAGUCGUGGGGAUAACGUAGCGAAAGCUACGCUAAUACCGCAUACGAUCUAUGGAUGAAAGCGGGGGAUCGCAAGACCUCGCGCGAUUGGAGCGGCCGAUAUCAGAUUAGGUAGUUGGUGAGGUAAAGGCUCACCAAGCCGACGAUCUGUAGCUGGUCUGAGAGGACGACCAGCCACACUGGGACUGAGACACGGCCCAGACUCCUACGGGAGGCAGCAGUGGGGAAUUUUGGACAAUGGGCGCAAGCCUGAUCCAGCAAUGCCGCGUGCAGGAUGAAGGCCUUCGGG
rnacentral:rRNA from 1 species